CUUAUGCCUACAGGCCACAUAAAGCUUCAGUUCUCUGUGAAGACUAUAAGCAGUCAGUCUCCAUAGAGGAUACAGCAGAAGGAGAGCUACUUCAAGCUUCUAGAGGCUGCUUGAUUUCCUUGGCUCAAGAUCCUCCUCCUUCAACUUCAAAGCCAGCACUGGCUCCUACUUUUAUACUUCAAUUUCUCACCGGGGCCUUUUGCAUCAAGCUGACACAACCAAAACCUCUGCCUGGCAUGUGAGGCACCAAAUUAUCUUUCUGAAAGCCUUGUGCAUAUACUCAAAGGGACCACUUCACUGUGGAUUCCGUUUUUGGCUUCCUGCAAGUUUCAAUGUAGAAUCAAGUAGAAAAUGACUUCUAUAGAAGAUGACAUGAAUCUUUUCUAUACUUCAUGUAAUCAUGAAGAGAUAUCAACCCCAUCAGAUAUGAAAUGGUGUGCUAGUGAUUUAUUUUGAUUUUCUGAUUUAUAUACGGCAAAAUUCACCUGUUUGCUGUGCAGUUCUAUGAACCUUGACAAAGGUUCUUAAGAAUCAUAGAACCAGCAGCACAAUCAAGAUCAAGAACCCCCUCACCCCAGAAUCACUUCCUUGUGUGGCCCCUUUGUAGUGAGACCCUCCAACCCACCCUUAACCCCUGGCAACCACUCAUGUUUUUCCCCAUUUUUAAAGUUCUGCCUUUCCCAGAAUGUCAGAUAAAAAGAACUCUACAGUGUGAAACCUUUUGAGUCUGGCUUCUUGCACUGGGCACCAUGCACCGGAGACUCGGGCACUUUGUGCAGGCAUCCAGUUCCUUCCGCUGUGCAGUAGUCCACUGCACAGAUGUACUCUGGCUUUGUUUAUCCAUUUCACUGGUUGAAGGACAUUGACUUUUCUGCAAUUUUUAGUACCUAUCAAUAAAGCUGCUA